AUUGAACGCUGGCGGCAUGCCUUACACAUGCAAGUCGAACGGCAGCACGGGAGCAAUCCUGGUGGCGAGUGGCGAACGGGUGAGUAAUAUAUCGGAACGUGCCCGGUCGUGGGGAUAACGUAGCGAAAGCUACGCUAAUACCGCAUACGAUCUACGGAUGAAAGCGGGGGGAUCGCAAGACCUCGCGCGAUUGGAGCGGCCGAUAUCAGAUUAGGUAGUUGGUGAGGUAAAGGCUCACCAAGCCGACGAUCUGUAGCUGGUCUGAGAGGACGACCAGCCACACUGGGACUGAGACACGGCCCAGACUCCUACGGGAGGCAGCAGUGGGGAAUUUUGGACAAUGGGCGCAAGCCUGAUCCAGCAAUGCCGCGUGCAGGAUGAAGGCCUUGGUUGGUAAACUGCUUUGUUACGGAACGAAACGGUAGAGCUCUAA
rnacentral:rRNA from 1 species